GGGUAUAUAGCUUAGUGGUAGAGCACAUGCUUAGCAUGCACGAGGUCCUAGGCUCAAUCCCCAGUACCUCCU
rnacentral:tRNA from 1 species